CCUCAUGCCGUAUUUUUUCCCCUUAAUUCCUGAAAUGUCAUUGUUAAAGGUCUCCAGCCCUGACUGACUGAACCUUUUCUCACAUGACUCCGUGGCUGAGGAAGAAUUUAAACCCUUUAUUUUCACAUCAGAGCUGAGCAAGAGGCAGCCCCACACCCUGGCCUUUGAUGGCAACAGCUGCAGACACUGAGGAAAUUAUCUAACAGAAAAAAAUUGAGAAAUUUUACGUGGCCAAAGUAAAAGGAGUUCUGCUUGUGCUUUUCCAAUGCCCUACAUGAUUCCAGCGCCAGGCAGCUGAGUCCCUGCCGCUUCAGUCUGCGGCUUCACAGGUCUCAAAACAUUCCAAAAGCUGAAGCCUCAAUAUUGAAGUGA